AGCCUAAACUUGGCACUGGGUCAGGCAUGGUGAAAAGAGUCCUACGAGGAUAAAGAACCCAUCAUAUGGGGUGUCCUCGUAGGCCAUGUCGGGAAACCGACAUGAGAGGCUUCGGCUUCU
rnacentral:sRNA from 1 species